rnacentral:rRNA from 1 species
AAUCAACGCUGGCGGCGUGCCUCAGACAUGCAAGUCGAACGAUUAAAGCUCUCUUCGGAGAGUGUAUAGAGUGGCGCACGGGUGAGUAACACGUAAGUAAUCUACCUUUGAGUGGGGAAUAACAGUCGGAAACGGACUGCUAAUACCGCCAUAACGCAGCGGCACCGCAAGGUGACAGUUGUUAAAGGAGCAAUCCGCUUAAAGAGGAGCUUGCGGCAGAUUAGCUUGUUGGUAAGGUAACGGCUUACCAAGGCUACGAUCUGUAUCCGGUCUAAGAGGACGGUCGGACACACUGACACUGAAUAACGGGUCAGAC